AGUACGAUCGCAAGGUUGAAACUCAAAGGAAUUGACGGGGGCCCGCACAAGCGGUGGAUUAUGUGGUUUAAUUCGAUGCAACGCGAAGAACCUUACCAGGGCUUGACAUCCUACUAACGAAGUAGAGAUACAUUAGGUACCCUUCGGGGGAAGUAGAGACAGGUGGUGCAUGGUUGUCGUCAGCUCGUGUCGUGAGAUGUUGGGUUAAGUCCCGCAACGAGCGCAACCCUUAUUGUUAGUUGCUACGCAAGAGCACUCUAGCGAGACUGCCGUUGACAAAACGGAGGAAGGUGGGGACGACGUCAAAUCAUCAUGCCCCUUAUGUCCUGGGCUACACACGUAAUACAAUGGCGGCCAACAGAGGGAUGCAAAGCUGUGAAGUGGAGCGAACCCCUAAAAGCCGUCCCAGUUCAGAUUGCAGUCUGCAACUCGACUGCAUGAAGUCGGAAUCGCUAGUAAUCGCGGAUCAGCAUGCCGCGGUGAAUACGUUCCCGGGCCUUGUACACACCGCCCGUCACACCAUGAGAGUCGGGAACACCCGAAGUCCGUAGCCUAACCGCAAGGAGGGCGCGGCCGAAGGUGGGUUCGAUAAUUGGGGUGAAGUCGUAACAAGGUAGCCGU
rnacentral:rRNA from 1 species